GGUCAUAUUACAAAAAGUUUAUACCAUAGCCACAAGGGCAUUUAUGUUUUAACUAAAUACCCAGUUAUUUGAUGAAGCCAAAUUCCACAGGUCUUAGAUGCCUCUUUUAUCUGCACCUUACACCUUGUGAUUGUCUCUGAAAUACAUUUGGGUCUGUCUGUCAGGCUGUUUGAUCACCUGUCUCUUCCCCAGGAUUGUAAACUCUGAGACAAGAUACUGUCUUUCUUGGACAUCUAGGACUUAAGUACUUGUGUCGGAGAACUAUAAAUUAGUAAAGAAAAAUAUAACUAAUGGAUAAAGGACAGCAGUUCACAGGAUAUGAACUAAGGAAAUGUUUGAUCAUACUAAUAAAAUUUUCAAUUAAAUAUUAAAUCUAACUCUUGACAAUUUUAUUCUAAUAGGCAAUCCACCUCGAAGAUCCAAGUCUGCACCUCCUCGUGAUUUAGGCAAUUUGGAUAAGGGACAAGCUGCCUCUCCCAGGGAGCCACUUGAACCACUGAACUUCCCAGAUCCUGAAUAUAAAGAGGAGGAGGAGGAAGACCAAGACAUACAAGGAGAAAUCAGUC
rnacentral:sRNA from 1 species